GCUGUGGCUCAGUGGUAGAGCAUCUGUUUUGCAUGUAGAAGGUCCAAGGUUCAAGCCCUGGCAUCUCCA
rnacentral:tRNA from 1 species